rnacentral:rRNA from 1 species
GACGAACGCUGGCGGCGCGCCUAACACAUGCAAGUCGAACGGAAAGGCCUGCUUUCCCUUGUGGAUUGCGGGUACUCGAGUGGCGAACGGGUGAGUAACACGUGAGUGAUCUGCCCCCAACUUGGGUAUAAGCCUGGGAAACUGGGUCUAAUUCCCGAUAGGACUGCAGGGUGGUGCCUGUGGUGGAAAACGAUUUUCUAGUGGUUGGGGAUGAGCUCGCGGCCUAUCAGCUUGUUGGUGGGGUAAUGGCCUACCAAGGCGGCGACGGGUAGCCGGCCUGAGAGGGUGGACGGGCACAGUGGGACUGAGAUACGGCCCAGACUCCGACGGGAGGCAGCAGUGGGGAAUAGUGGACGAUGGGCGGAAGCCUGAUGCAGCGACGCCGCGUGGGGGAUGACGGCCUUCGGGUGGUAAACUCCUUUCGACCGCGAGGAAGCCACCUGGUUGGAAGGGUGGUGACGGUAGUGGUAGAAGAAGCACCGGCUAACUACGUG